ensembl:lncRNA
UCCUCAGACACAGAGACAUAGCUAGAAGGCUGACCUGGCUCAGUACGGUUUCAGGAAUGUGACUCGCAGACUGCCCACAUCUGCUCCACCAUGCUUCAGGGAAUCCAGCCUGCCCUGCUCCCUUCUCCUCUUACCAGCCAAGUACAAGAAGUAGAGAACAGUUCGGACUCCAACACUGUCCAGGGAGAUCCAGCCCCUGUUGAGCCUUCUGAGGAGCCACAGAGGCAGCUUGGUGUGGACAAAAAGGAGAAGAGCUUUACAGUUGGAUAGAUUCUGAUGCUGACUUUCCGAGUGCAGGCUCGAAGCACUAUGUGACUCCAGUCAUCCUUCUUCACCUAACCCAUCCAUGUCUCUG